rnacentral:lncRNA from 1 species
GUUUAAUUUUCAUAAAAUUUAGAUAAAGUAUUUACUUUGACCCUAUGACAAAAAUAUAAAAAUUUCAAAAACAUUGAACCAACCAUUUUAUCUGAAAAAUUGUACUGGUUAUAUAGCAGUUUGACAGACACUAAUUUUGAUCAUUGAGAAGCUUAAUAUUCCCUUAACAACACAACGUAAUUUAAACGUUUAACUGAUUUUACAGAGUUAUCUCCCUG